rnacentral:rRNA from 1 species
GACGAACGCUGGCGGCGUGCUUAACACAUGCAAGUCGAACGGAAAGGCCCUGCUUUUGUGGGGUGCUCGAGUGGCGAACGGGUGAGUAACACGUGAGUAACCUGCCCUUGACUUUGGGAUAACUUCAGGAAACUGGGGCUAUUAUCGGAUAGGAGCUCUUGCUGCACGGGGGGGGUUGGAAAGUUUCGGCGGUUGGGGAUAGACUCGCGGCUUAUCCGCUUGUUGGUGGGGUAGUGGCUUACCAAGGCUUUGACGGGUAGCCGGCCUGGGAGGGUGGCCGGCGACAUUGGGACUGAGAGACGGACCAGACGCCUACGUGAGGCAGCAGUGGGGAAUAUUGCACAAUGGCCGGAAGCGUGAUGCAGCGACGCCGCGUGCGGGAUGCCGGCCUUCGAGUUAAAAACCGCUUUCGCCUGUGACGAAGCGGGAGUGACGGUAAUGGGUAAGGAAGCACCGGCUAACUACGUG